CCAAGCCGAGCCGGUCCCUGUCCUUUUCCAGCCGAGCCGCCAAGACUAAUUUGGCUCCAUCCACCUAAAUUUUGGGACGUCGUGGACCAAGUAAUUGCUGCAGCGCGGGAUUUCUUCAGUAGGGGCUCGAGCACUGCAACCUCUUUCUAGGUUAGGACCUCGUCGCUUGGAAAGCAUACUGCCUCGCGGUUAGGACUCGUCAAGUAAAUCUCCAGGUAGAGGACGAGGCAAGGGCAAAGGCAAGCUGGCGAGCGAC